rnacentral:rRNA from 1 species
GUCGAGCGGUACAGGAGAAAGCUUGCUUUCUUGCUGACGAGCGGCGGACGGGUGAGUAAUGUAUGGGGAUCUGCCCGAUAGAGGGGGAUAACUACUGGAAACGGUGGCUAAUACCGCAUGAYGUCUACGGACCAAAGCAGGGGCUCUUCGGGACCUUGCGCUAAUCGGAAUGAACCCCAGUAUGGGAUUAGGCUAGKUAGGGUGAGGGNNAAUGGGCCUCRCCCCUAAAGGCCG